UGCACGCUCUGAGCACAAAGUCCUGGGAUCC
rnacentral:piRNA from 1 species